UUCAUUUUGCAUUCUCUAACGAAGUCCCCGCGCCCAUUCUUUCUCGCGCUCUCCCCACUGAAAAUAUCUUUGCUUAACUUCACUGGCCGUAUGCUUGAUUGACGUUCAAUCGAUUAGCUCGAAUGAGACGAAGCUUGGUGGAGAAUGUCCGUUAUUAUUCACUGUGUAGAGGGUUCAUAAAGUUCUGAAAGUCCCCAAUUUUCAAACCUAGGGUUCUGAUCCACCUAAUGGAUUGUUGGACACAACAAAUUCCUCUAAUGAGUGUGUCUCUUGCAAAGACAAGGUCAAUCCACCAGUGAAUUUUUUAUGCCCAAGGUCCAUAAGUGCCAGAUUACAUUUCAAGUUCUGGUGGAGAAACCAAGAUUGACAUUGCAAUGUGGAAGCGGAGUGAGUUGGCCGAAUUGAUCGUCGACGACUGUCAGUUUUUAUCAGAUGCAGUGCUACCUUCCGAUUACUUUCUUCAUCACCUUAACUAUGGGUAGAGGCACUCUUGGUUAUGCUGCACCAGCGCUUUGGUUGCCAAAUUUUCCCGUAACUCAAAACUGUGAUGUUUGCAGCUUUGGGAUGAUAUUAUUUGAAAUCCUUGGAAGGAGAAGAAACUUUGAGAUUGACCUUGCUGAGAGCCAGGAGUGGUUUCCAAUGUGGAUUUGGAAAAAAAGUUAAGGUUGAAGAAGCAGAAGAAUUGAUGGUAGCAUGUGGGAUAGAUGAUCAAAAUAAUGAGACUGCAAAAAGAAUGAUGAAGAUAUGAUUUGAUUUCUUUUCAGGCAAUGACACUUCUUGGUGAUUAUACAGAUGAAGAAGACACAUCAAUCAGGAUUGGUGUUAUAAUGGGUUUGGGUAUUGCAUAUGCUUGUUCCCAGAAGGAUCAUCUGAUAUGUUUUCUCUAUAUUUUGGAAAAUCUAAUAUUUGUUGCGAAUUGAGAUACACACCAUAUGCAAAUGUGUAAAGUUUUUAAUUUGUUUUGGCUUAUUUCAGUUACCUGAGAAAUUGACAGGUGUACUGAAUGAUUCUAAAGCAUCACUUGAUGUGCUUUCACUGCUAUUUCUCUGGGCUUGAUCUUUGUGGGUUCUUGCAAUGAGGAAAUUGCCCAAGCAAUUAUAUAUACAGUAAUGGACACGAGUGAGUCAGAGUUAGGAAAGCCCCUUACCCGACUUUUACCUCUUGGCCUUGGUCUUCUAUAUAUUGGGAAGCAGGACAGUGUUGAUGCAACUGCCGAAGUUUCAAAGACUUUUAAUGAAAAAAUUAGAAAGAAUUGUGACAUGACGCUUGUCAUGUGCCUAUUCUGGAACCCAAAAUGUUCUCAAGGUACAGAAUCUCUUAGGUCAUUAUUUGCAACAUCUUGAUAAAUGUAAAACUCACCAAGGUUCUGGUGUGCUUGGAAUUGCUAUGGUAGCCGUGGCUGAACAACUGGGACUUGAGAUGACAAUUCGAUCAUUAGAACAUCUUCUAUAGUAUGGAGAGCAGAAUAUUCGUAGAGCAGUUCCUCUGGCACUUGGUCUACUUUGCAUAUCAAGUCCAAAGGUCAAUGUUAUGGAUACCUUAAGCAGACUGAGCCAUGAUACGGAUUCAGAAGUAGCUAUGCAUGUGUGAGGGAGGUGUUCACCUCAUGUAAUGAUGUGCUGCGAAAGAAGUCAUUCUGUUUCAUGCUUGCACGUCAUGGAAUUACUUUUGAGCUUGAUGAGGAGAUGGCUGCAUAUGAUGGCAUAGAAAUGUUUUAGGAUAUCAUCAACAAUUCUAAGUUAAGUGAAGGAUAUCUCACCCUUGCUCGUGAUAUUGAAGUUACGGAGCCCAAAUCCCCUGAGGAUAUAUACAAGGUGUAAUUUUGGUGAUAAUGUAACUUCUGCUAUAAGGAACUUUGUACCAGAUAUAACAUCCUGUGCAUGUAUAAAUUUACAUCUAAUCCUAUGAUAUAUUAUUUUUACCUGCUAAAUUUUGGUUCAAAUUCAUAAAAUAACAAGGCCUGAUCAUUUUUAAUAUA